GCUGGGAGACCACAGAUUAGAGUACACUGGAGUGUGUAUAUUAGGUCACUCAGUGUCUAUCAAAGCGAUAUCACGCCGGGAAAAACAUAUGAUCCACAAGGAAUCAUGUAGUCUUUAACAAGACCCCAACGUUGGAUCACUGGGGGAUACUGGGACUAGAAAGGACCUGACAUGAUGUUUUACAAAUUUAUCUUGGAUUCCUUCAGGACGUCACAGUUUGUGUUCAAUAACAGCAGAAUGCUCUCUUGCUCACCACUGAGGGACGAACAGAAGAGGCAGAAAGGCAGUAAGUGACUACACCUGAGAAAGAAGCAGCAGACACUAGCAUUACCACGUGGUACGGCUCAGUCAGCAAACCCAAUCUACAGCGGGGAUGCUAUCAGAUAGGAACCCCAGAAGGAGCCCAUCUCAUACCUUCCAACCACCUUCAGUUUUUUCUUGGCAGCACUGUCCUUACAAUUUGUUUUUAGUUAGAAAACACAGUAUCCUGUGGUCAUGACACCCAGCCAACAUUUUCUCUGUUUCCAGUUAAGGGAAAUAUAAAGAUGCCAGAAAAUAUUUGCCCAAACAGUGCUGUUUUUCAUUAGAAGGGUACUUUUAGAGCCUAGUUACUGCAAUAUCAACUCUGUAUUGUUCUAUUACCACAAAGCAUACAAUUGAAAUGGGCAUUUUUUUUCUAUUAGCGGCAUAUCACAUUUGUUGGGUAUUAAAGAAAGUGUUUACAGAUAUUAAAAGUUUUUGUCUUUCUGGGAAAGGCACAUCAUUGAAAAUGUAAUACAAUUUCUAUUCUCUUUUGGAGUCUUGAAGUUUAAGAAUGUAAUUUUUCUGAGUUGCUUCAAGAUAGCCAGCACAUUAAAUACCUCCCUCCCUCCCACUCCGCCCCACACCUCAUGA